GACGAACGCUGGCGGCGUGCUUAACACAUGCAAGUCGAACGGAAAGGCCCUGCUUUUGUGGGGUGCUCGAGUGGCGAACGGGUGCGUAACACGUGAGUAACCUGCCCUUGACUUUGGGAUAACUUCAGGAAACUGGGGCUAAUACCGGAUAGGAGCUCCUGCUCCAUGGAGGGGGUUGGAAAGUUUCGGCGGUUGGGGAUGGACUCGCGGCUUAUCAGCUUGUUGGUGGGGUAGUGGCUUACCAAGGCUUUGACGGGUAGCCGGCCUGAGAGGGUGACCGGCCACAUUGGGACUGAGAUACGGCCCAGACUCCUACGGGAGGCAGCAGGGGGGAAUAUUGCACAAUGGGCGGAAGCCUGAUGCAGAAACGCCGCGUGCGGGAUGACGGCCUUCGGGUUGUAAACCGCUUUCGCCUGUGACGAAGCGUGAGUGACGGUAAUGGGUAAAGAAGCACCGGCUAACUACGUG
rnacentral:rRNA from 1 species